rnacentral:rRNA from 1 species
CGUUAAGUUGCAGGGUAUAGACCCGAAACCCGGUGAUCUAGCCAUGGGCAGGUUGAAGGUUGGGUAACACUAACUGGAGGACCGAACCGACUAAUGUUGAAAAAUUAGCGGAUGACCUGUGGCUGGGGGUGAAAGGCCAAUCAAACCGGGAGAUAGCUGGUUCUCCCCGAAAGCUAUUUAGGUAGCGCCUCGUGAAUUCAUCUCCGGGGGUAGAGCACUGUUUCGGCUAGGGGGCCAUCCCGGCUUACCAACCCGAUGCAAACUGCGAAUACCGGAGAAUGUUAUCACGGGAGACACACGGCGGGUGCUAACGUCCGUCGUGAAGAGGGAAACAACCCAGACCGCCAGCUAAGGUCCCAAAGUCAUGGUUAAGUGGGAAACGAUGUGGGAAGGCCCAGACAGCCAGGAUGUUGGCUUAGAAGCAGCCAUCAUUUAAAGAAAGCGUAAUAGCUCACUGGUCGAGUCGGCCUGCGCGGAAGAUGUAACGGGGCUAAACCAUGCACCGAAGCUGCGGCAGCGACGCUGAUGCGUUGUUGGGUAGGGGAGCGUUCUGUAAGCCUGCGAAGGUGGCCUGUGAGGGUUGCUGGAGGUAUCAGAAGUGCGAAUGCUGACAUAAGUAACGAUAAAGCGGGUGAAAAGCCCGCUCGCCGGAAGACCAAGGGUUCCUGUCCAACGUUAAUCGGGGCAGGGUGAGUCGACCCCUAAGGCGAGGCCGAAAGGCGUAGUCGAUGGGAAACGGGUUAAUAUUCCCGUACUUGGUGUUACUGCGAAGGGGGGACGGAGAAGGCUAUGUUGGCCGGGCGACGGUUGUCCCGGUUUAAGCGUGUAGGCUGGUUUUCCAGGCAAAUCCGGAAAAUCAAGGCUGAGGCGUGACGACGAGGCACUACGGUGCUGAAGCAACAAAUGCCCUGCUUCCAGGAAAAGCCUCUAAGCAUCAGGUAACACGAAAUCGUACCCCAAACCGACACAGGUGGUCAGGUAGAGAAUACCAAGGCGCUUGAGAGAACUCGGGUGAAGGAACUAGGCAAAAUGGUGCCGUAACUUCGGGAGAAGGCACGCUGACAUGUAGGUGAAGUGAUUUACUCAUGGAGCUGAAGUCAGUCGAAGAUACCAGCUGGCUGCAACUGUUUAUUAAAAACACAGCACUGUGCAAACACGAAAGUGGACGUAUACGGUGUGACGCCUGCCCGGUGCCGGAAGGUUAAUUGAUGGGGUCAGCGCAAGCGAAGCUCCUGAUCGAAGCCCCGGUAAACGGCGGCCGUAACUAUAACGGUCCUAAGGUAGCGAAAUUCCUUGUCGGGUAAGUUCCGACCUGCACGAAUGGCGUAAUGAUGGCCAGGCUGUCUCCACCCGAGACUCAGUGAAAUUGAACUCGCUGUGAAGAUGCAGUGUACCCGCGGCAAGACGGAAAGACCCCGUGAACCUUUACUAUAGCUUGACACUGAACAUUGAGCCUUGAUGUGUAGGAUAGGUGGGAGGCUUUGAAGUGUGGACGCCAGUCUGCAUGGAGCCGACCUUGAAAUACCACCCUUUAAUGUUUGAUGUUCUAACGUGGACCCGU